rnacentral:rRNA from 1 species
GUCUUUUUGAGUAUAAUUUAAAGUYUGGCCUGCCCAAUGAAGUUUCAAUGGCCGCGGUACUCUAACCGUGCAAAGGUAGCAUAAUCAUUAGUUUUUUAAUUGAAAGCUGGAAUGAAAGGUUGAAUGAGAAAAUAACUGUCUCUAUUUAAAUUUUUUAGAAUUUUAUUUUUAAGUUAAAAAGCUUAAAUUGAAGUAGAAGACGAGAAGACCCUAUAGAGUUUUAUUGAUUUUUUAUAUAAAGAUUUCAGUAUUAAAAUUUUUUAUUUUAAACAAUCAAUUUAAUUGGGGUGAUUAAAAAAUUUAAUUAACUUUUUUUUUACAAGUACAUUUAUUUAUGAGUGUUUGAUCCUUCUAUAAAGAUUAAAAGAUAAAAUUACCUUAGGGAUAACAGCGUAAUUUUUUUAGAGAGUUCUAAUCGAAAAAAAAGAUUGCGACCUCGAUGUUGGAUUAAAAUAUAAUUUUGGUGUAGCAGCUAAAGUAUUUAGGUCUGUUCGACCUUUGAAAUUUUACA